UUGUACAUAAUUUCAUACUUUCAAUUAUUGUGAUAUUAAUGUUAUUCUCAUUUGAUUUCAGUUUGAUGACAAAUAAAACAUAUUCUCAAGUAGAAUUUGAUGAAAUUAGAGAAAAAUAGAUUACUUUUGUGUUAUAAUUAAUCAUGAAUCAUAUUGAUGUAUCGUGAUCAUUCAUGGUAAGUCCCUUAGUUGUUAUAUGAUUGAAUUUUCCAUUGAUAUUGUAUAACAUUACUUAUUCUUUACGAAUUAUUUUUAUACCAAAAUGAGAAAAAGGAAAAAGAAAAAGAAAACAUUAGUACUUAGAUUUGUUUAUUGUUUAUAACAUCACAUUUUUAUUUUCAAUAAGUACUCUAAAACUCAUUAAACUAUGAAAUGCAGGUAUACACUCUUGGGAGGACAAUAUGAAGAAUAAAAAGAAAGGAGAAAGAGGCAACAAGAUUUAGGUUUUUAGAUAUGACUCUUAUGUCAUACAUUAUAGGACAUAAAUGUUACUUUAUUUGGAAUUGAGAAUUUUGGGUUUUUGGAUGCAACUCUUGUGUCAUUUUAUGGUUAGCCGGUUUUAUGCAUAUGAAAUGCAAGUAUACAUGAAUGUUGGGAAGCGUAACAUUUCUAAAUCAUGUUUUAAUGUGUAUUCACUUUUCUUUUUUAGUUUUGGUGGGUUUGAUGUGUUUGAUGUACUAUCAUUUUGUGAACAUUUAAUAUACAAAUAUUAUUGGAUGAUGUAAUAUGUUACAAAUUAAUUCAUAAG
rnacentral:lncRNA from 1 species